rnacentral:rRNA from 1 species
AUUGAACGCUGGCGGCAGGCCUAACACAUGCAAGUCGAGCGGAUGAAGGGAGCUUGCUCCUGGAUUCAGCGGCGGACGGGUGAGUAAUGCCUAGGAAUCUGCCUGGUAGUGGGGUAUAACGUCCGGAAACGGGCGCUAAUACUGCAUACGUCCUGAGGGAGAAAGUGGGGGAUCUUCGGACCUCACGCUAUCAGAUGAGCCUAGGUCGGAUUAGCUAGUUGGUGGGGUAAAGGCCUACCAAGGCGACGAUCCGUAACUGGCCUGAGAGGAUGAUCAGUCACCCUGGAACUGAGACACGGUCCAGACUCCUACGGGAGGCAGCAGUGGGGAAUAUUGGACAAUGGGCGAAAGCCUGGUCCAGCCGUGCCGCGUGUGUGAAGAAGGUCUUCGGAUUGUAAAGCACUUUAAGUUGGGGGGAAGGGCAGUAAGUUAAUACCUUGCUGUUUUGACGGUACCAACGGAAUAAGCACCGGCUAACUUCGUG